GGUUAAUAACUAACAAAUAAACCUCUGUAAUUUUUCAUCUGAUGCAAUCAAGAGAACGUAUUAAAGGUACACAAACAAAUUGAAUUGCUGCUUGCACAUGUGGAUGGGGAUAAAAAUGAAAGCGUAUCUGAAAAAGCUUCGCCCCCUUGUGAAAAGAUCCUGGCUCCGUCUCUGCUGCAUCAGAACAAGUCAUAGUGAUUCUUGUCCCUUACAAGACACCGGCAUUGAUGCUUGUUCUGAAACUGCAGAGGAGUAGUAUGUACAAGAAACUGAAUUCUACAGUUCAUCAACUAAUUCUGCCCUGUAUUAGACACCUUACUAUCAACAACAGGGAUAGUAAUGGUGAAUUGCUUUCUCAUCUAAGCAGCUAUGCAGUUGUGUAUAUGCGGUCUUAAGUUUCUCCUCAAAGUUCACUGGAACCAGUCGACAACAGUAACUGCAGCAAUAAUAUUGAUUGUAUGCUAUUGUUGUAUCAUCAAUGCAAGGAUUGCAUUAUACAAGCAACAACAUGGAUAGUGAUUAUAGAAGCAAAGAUUUUCAUUGCACUGAGAUAGCUGCUCUCCAUCACCGUUUUCAAUCCGAGUAUUCUCAUUCUGUCCAUUACUCGUUUAGGAGCAAACCUGUACAAAAAUAUGACUAGGAAGAUGCCUUGCAUUAUUUCCUCAUAUUUUGG